UCCCAGAACUUUGGGAGGCCGAGCCAAGC
rnacentral:piRNA from 1 species